GUGGGGAAUAUUGCACAAUGGGCGCAAGCCUGAUGCAGCAACGCCGCGUGAGGGAUGACGGCCUUCGGGUUGUAAACCUCUUUUAGUAGGGAAGAAGCGAAAGUGACGGUACCUGCAGAAAAAGCACCGGCUAACUACGUGCCAGCAGCCGCGGUAAUACGUAGGGUGCAAGCGUUGUCCGGAAUUAUUGGGCGUAAAGAGCUCGUAGGCGGCUUGUCGCGUCUGCUGUGAAAUCCCGGGGCUCAACCCCGGGCCUGCAGUGGGUACGGGAAGGCUAGAGUGCGGUAGGGGAGAUUGGAAUUCCUGGUGUAGCGGUGGAAUGCGCAGAUAUCAGGAGGAACACCGAUGGCGAAGGCAGAUCUCUGGGCCGCUACUGACGCUGAGGAGCGAAAGCAUGGGGAGCGAACAGGAUUAGAUACCCGGGUAGUCC
rnacentral:rRNA from 1 species